GCCGAUUGGUCUACAGUGGAGGCAGUGCGCGCGUCCUGAUUGGCUGAGACGCGUCAGCCGGUGGCCCGGUUGUUGAUGCCUGUGGCCUAGAGGUGGAGGAGGAGGUGAGAGAGGAGACACCGGGGAAGUGAAGUCAGGAGAUACCGAGGACUGCACGGGAAGAAGGAGCCGCAGAGAGGUCCGUGAGGGGGAUGGACUACAGAACUAGUGAGGUCUAAAGUGCAGUAAGAAGAAAUGGCCACGUCCACCUGCAGUAUUGUUCUGGCUUCUAUCAGAUCACGGAGCUGCCGCCUUGUUCUUCAGAAGAAUAGCUGUCCGGUCUACUCCACCUUAUCCCAUCACCAAAAUGGAUGGCUGCCCCCAAUGGCGAGAAGCUCGGCUCCCGCAAACUUCAUGUACCCCGCCAUCGACAACCGGCACUUUCACACCUCCGUGUUACGGCUGCAGAACUUACCUCCACCGCCUCCUCCCACGCAAGAGCCAGAAAAGUCUCCGCAGGUUGUAUGGAAAUCUCUUGGCCAAAAAGUGGUGGAUGAGAUUAAACACUUUUACCAUGGUUUUCGCUUGCUCUGGAUAGACACCAAAACGGCUGCUCGCACGGUGUGGAGACUGUUACACGGCCAGGUGCUGACCCGGAGGGAGAGGAGACGGUUAAUGAGGACCUGCGCAGAUCUCUUCCGGCUGGUUCCGUUCAUGGUCUUUGUUAUAGUCCCAUUUAUGGAGUUUCUGCUGCCUGUAUUUCUGAAGCUCUUCCCUGAGAUGUUACCUUCUACAUUCGAGUCAGAGUCCAAAAAGGAAGAGAAGAUGAAGAAGAAGCUGGGAGCAAAAUUGGAGAUGGCCAAGUUUCUCCAGGAGACAAUCUCUGAGAUGGCCCGAAGGAACAAGGCAGAGACAGGAGGAGACAGACAGCAGCAGUUUUCUACCUAUGUCCAGCAGGUGCGAGUGACAGGAGAACAGCCAACCACGAAGGAGAUUGUAAGCUUCUCUAAGCUCUUUGAGGAUGAGCUGACUCUGGAGCACCUGGAGAGGUCUCAGCUGGCGGCGCUGUGCAGACUGCUUGAGCUACCACCAAUUGGCACUAAUAACUUAUUACGGUUCCAGCUGCUGAUGAAGCUUCGAACCAUAAAGGCCGAUGAUGAGAUGAUCUCAAAGGAAGGAGUGAGUAACCUUACUGUUGCCGAGUUACAGGCUGUCAGCAGGACACGGGGGAUGAGGUCUCUGGGUCUCACAGAAGAACAGCUCAGAGAUCAAUUAAAGCAGUGGCUGGAUCUACAUUUAACAGAGAACGUACCCCCAUCUCUCCUGCUACUCUCCAGAGCCUUGUAUCUGACUGACGUCAAACCCAAGCCCAUUAUACCUGUGAACCAGACUGUGGCGGUACCAAAGAGCAGCUCUCCAUCAGCACAGCUUUCAGACUCUAAGGAGAUUCUUACAGACCCAGCCCCAGUCCUAAAAGACGUGCAGGAGCAGAAUAUUACACCAAAAACUCUAAUACAAGAAACCACACUCCAGGCAAAAGAAAGUGCAAAAGCCAGUGCCAAUGGAGUUUAACAGGAGUCGGGGACAUCUAGGUGUCCUGUCGUGUCACUUUACAGACCAUCGGUCAGAACAUGGAUGUGCUACGUAAAAAAGACCACUCCUCGGGAACCUGCAGAGUCCUCAGAACAAGGGUCGACUACAGAACCUGAUGUCUGAGAUAGGGAGACGGUUCUCUACCAAUGCGUUGUUGCACUGUAAAGCCAUGCCGAGUAUGCAUGGGGAAAUUUUAAGAUUAUAAUAAUGAUGUAUGAAAUUAUUGGUGGCAUACACACCGCAAAGAUACUAUUGCAAUGUGUCAAAAAAGGCACAGAGGAUUUAUUUAUCAAUGCUCCAUCUAGUGCUUUCAGGUUUUAUUUUUAUAGUGUAUUAUAAACUUUAAAGGAUUUGUAUACUUGAGACUGUACUGCCAGAAUAAAAUGUACCUUUAUUUAACAUGGACAGCCAUUAGAUCACAUUGUAAUGAACCAGUAUCCCAGUCUGUGAAUCAUCUGCGGCUGCCUCUGUGUCUGGAUAGGAACCUUUGCAGCUCUUUCUGCCACUAACACAGCAAGAAGCCCCAGCACAAUCUGGAGUACUAUGCAGCUGAGGCAUCUCCCCCCGGUGCUAGUUACCACUUAUUACCUUGAACAAGCCUCGGCGGUAGCAAACACUUGUGAAUUAACCACGUGUUAAAUAAGGUAUGUUUAAUAAUAGUAAAAAAAUAAACUAACAUUUUUAUAUUAUUUAAUUUCAUUCAUCAGCCAUAGCCACUUUAUAGUGGAUCUGCCCAUUCUCCUUUGUCUUAGUACAUUCUGAUAUUCCAGAUAUAACAGUUUUUCCUAACCAAGUUGCAAAACUACAACUCCCAGCAUGCCUGGACAGCCUUCGGCUGAUUUUAUUUUGUGUCCAAAGACCUUACAAAUGGUGCUUUAUGGAACAAAACUUAUCCCCUAUUCACAGGAUUGGGGGUAAGUGUCUGAUCAUCUGACUGUUGGGACCCUGUCUUAGCCAGUGAUGGGCCGAGCACUCUGGGGAGAAGCUUCAGUUCAGCAUGAAAGCCGGGCCCUUUAUAGGAGGUUGCGUGGGGUCCCAUCGGUCAUAUCCGACCCCUCCUGUGGAUAGGGGAUAAGUUUUGUUUCCUGGAGUACCCCUUUAAUGGCUGUCAGCCGCAAAACUAGAUUCAGCGCAUAGAAAAGUAUGGCGCGGUUUCUGGAAAUAAAACACAGCCUUUUUUUUUACUAUUCUCAGACAACCCAGUUUAAAGGGGUAUUCCGGGUUUAUAUAUCUUAUCUCCUAUCCAAAGGAUAGGGGAUAAGAUGUAUAAUCACAGGGGACCCGCCAAUGGGGACCUCCGCGAUCUCAGUGCAGCCCCCUGCUUUCUGUGCCGGGUGCUGCCUCUGAGACAGGGAUGAGGCGUGGCCGUGAUGUCACGUCCCUGUCUCGGGAGCAGCGCCCUCCUUUGGAUAGGGGAUAAGAUGUAUAAACCCGGAAUACCCCUUUAAGGUGUACAUGUGACCGGAGAAGGUAAUGGCUGACAUGUUCUUAUCCGAUUUCAUAUUUUUUAGACUUUAAGGUGUUCAUUUUUCGGGUGGGCAAGUGUUCACUUUAAGAAAACCACUUAUUUAAUUACUGAUCAUUACUUUAUAUCUAAGUAAACUCCAUUUAUGUCUGUAAGGCCUCCUUCAGAUAAGCUUCAAACUCACAUUUAAAGGAAAUGUCACUGUGAAAAUGCUAUCUUAUGUAUUGGCAUCACGUUAUGGAGCAGGAAGAGCUGGGCAGGUUGAUAAUAUAUCUUUGUGGGAACAGAUUUAUAUAACUUUUCAUUUAUUGAUUGAAAUCUUUGAUAGUUCCAUGUAUAGGUGUCCAAUGGGCGGUCCUAUUAUUGAGUGACACUGUCCACUGGACUCCUAAGGAGACAGAGCAGAGAUUUCAACCAAUUUGUUACACGUUAUACUGAAAAUGUUUCCUCAAAGAUAUAUAUCAAUCUGCUCCGCUCCUCCUGCUCCAUAACAUGAUGCUGAUAGAUUAGGUAAGAUUUUCAUGGUGACAGGUUCCCUUUAACUAUCUGUAUUCCAGAUGUAGCACUCUGACUGACUCCCUUGGUUAUGCUGAACCCCACAUCCAGCACUAUAUAGAUCUGUGGUGCUGGAUGUUCAGCUCAGUAGAACCAUGAAGGUUUUGGAUGUUAUACCAGGAAUAGCGUUUGUUGUAGACGUACAAUAUUCCCAUCUGAAUGAGUCUGACUUGUAUGGUAUGUAAAUAUGUACAUAUAUUUUUGAGUACUGGAUUUUAGAGAUUUGUACAGUUUCUGACUUGCUAUAUAUUCUUGUAAAUUAAAUAUUUUCCAGUCAGGUAUAGUGUCAUAUGUAAAUCUUUAGUGCAUUAUUUUAUGUGUUUACAGGGGGCACACUAUUAUUUUAUUAUGUUUUGGACACUAUCAUCAGUCUGUUGUUUUUUAUGUUCUGUGCCAGUCACUAUAAAGCACUGUCUUGUUCUCAACGUGCUGAAAAUAAAAUUUACUGUUUUUAUUUCCUUU